rnacentral:lncRNA from 1 species
AAUUAAUCCAUUCUGGAGGUCAGAAAAAAAAAGUCAAAAUGAGCUGGCAUGAAAACCAACCCACAAUGCAGAACACACAAUAAAAGGCAUGGAAAUGACGAAGCUCAGCUCCCUACCUUUCUACAGCUUGAGAAAUGCACCAAAAAGUCCCAGAACAACUGCAAACAAUUUCCAGAAUGGCUCCAAAACUCGAUGCAAAAGCCGCUCCAAC